rnacentral:rRNA from 1 species
UACGGGGGGGGUAAGCGUUGUUCGGAAUUACUGGGCGUAAAGGGCUCGUAGGCGGCCAACUAAGUCAGACGUGAAAUCCCUCGGCUUAACCGGGGAACUGCGUCUGAUACUGGAUGGCUUGAGUUUGGGAGAGGGAUGCGGAAUUCCAGGUGUAGCGGUGAAAUGCGUAGAUAUCUGGAGGAACACCGGUGGCGAAGGCGACAUCCUGGACCAACACUGACGCUGAGGAGCGAAAGCCAGGGGAGCAAACGGG